CUCUUUUCAUGACAUUUCAUUUAUCAAGGUCUUAUCAAUACAUCUACCAGCAUAGCCGCCAGCUCAUCUGUAACAAAUAUCACCUCCAUAUUGUUGAAUCACUACCUCAGAUUGCUUGGCAGAUCCUCAAACUCAAAUUUGUUCAGAUUUGAAAUGCAGUAUCUUAUCCCUGUUUGUCUGUUGGUGUUGCUGGCUAGCUGUGAGGCUGGCGUUGUCAAAUGUAGAGCCCAGUGUGGGAAUCAAUUUGGGGACUGUUGUUCAUCUGUGUGCAACGGUAAUGUUCAACAUCUUGGGGUUUUCAAUGUCGCGCUGCAUUGCCAUUACAACCGAUCUGUGGCCUCACAUAUUCACUGUGGGACAGAGUGCCAUGAAAAGUUCCUAAACUGUACCAUGGAGUGUGGAAGCAUUGAUCCUACUUUGCUUGGAAAAUAAAAGCCUGUCAUAUCAA